CAGCAGCCGCGGGAAUACGUAGGGUGCAAGCGUUAAUCGGAAUUACUGGGCGUAAAGCGUGCGCAGGCGGUUAUAUAAGACAGAUGUGAAAUCCCCGGGCUCAACCUGGGAACUGCAUUUGUGACUGUAUAGCUAGAGUACGGCAGAGGGUGAUGGAAUUCCGCGUGUAGCAGUGAAAUGCGUAGAUAUGCGGAGGAACACCGAUGGCGAAGGCAAUCCCCUGGGCCUGUACUGACGCUCAUGCACGAAAGCGUGGGGAGCAAACAGGAUUAGAUACCCCCGUAGUCCCUGUCUCUUAUAC
rnacentral:rRNA from 1 species